CUACGGGGGGCUCCAGUGGGGAAUAUUGCACAACGGGCGCAAGCCUGAUGCAGCAACGCCGCGUGGGGGACGACGGCCUUCGGGUUGUAAACCUCUUUUAGUAGGGAAGAAGCGCAAGUGACGGUACCUACAGAAAAAGCACCGGCUAACUACGUGCCAGCAGCCGCGGUAAUACGUAGGGUGCAAGCGUUGUCCGGAAUUAUUGGGCGUAAAGAGCUCGUAGGCGGUUUGUCGCGUCUGCUGUGAAAAUCCGGGGCUCAACCUCGGACCUGCAGUGGGUACGGGCAAACUAGAGUGCGGUAGGGGAGAUUGGAAUUCCUGGUGUAGCGGUGGAAUGCGCAGAUAUCAGGAGGAACACCAAUGGCGAAGGCAGAUCUCUGGGCCGUAACUGACGCUGAGGAGCGAAAGCGUGGGGAGCGAACAGGAUUAGAUACCCCUGUAGUC
rnacentral:rRNA from 1 species